rnacentral:rRNA from 1 species
GAUGAGACGAGUAGGUCAUCUGGACUGCAUGGCACUCAAGUACGAUACUACCCGUCAGUGGGACAUCAUAGAGGGUGACAAUCCCGUCUUUGGUGCUGAUGUUCGAGUCCUUUACGAUGCCUAUCUCAGGAGAGUCGAGUAGUUUGGGAUUUGCUGCUUGAACAUGGGAGGUAGACACCUUCUAAAGCUAAAUAUUGGCAAGAGACCGAUAGUGGACAAGUACCGCAAGGGAAAGAUGAAAUAGCACUCUGUAAAGGGAGUCAAAAGGCGUGAAAUUGUUGCGAGAGAAGCGAUUCAAGUCAGCUUGACUAGGCCCAUGAUGACAUCCGUCCUCUGGACUAGUCUCGCCAGCGGUCUCAUCUUAUUACGGUUUGACUAAGGUGCGGUACAUCCUCAACGCACGGCUGGUGGAAUGGCUUGCAAUCGACCCGUCUUGAAACACGGACCAAGGAGUCUAACAUGCAUGCAAGUAUAAGGGUGACAAACCCGUAUGCGCAAUGAAAGUGACUUUCAGUGAUUGUUGUGUGGCUUGACGACCAGACAGGAAAUAUCAUGUCCCUCGGAUGGCCACUGCCCAAGUUCUGUGGUACGAACCCAUGAACAUGGAGACGGAGCAUGCAUGCUAGGACCCGAAAGAUGGUGAACUAUGCCUGGACAGAGCGAAGCCAAAGGAAACUCUGGUGGAGGCUCGUAGCGAUUCUGACGUGCAAAUCGAUCGUCUGAUCUGGGUAUAGGGGCGAAAGACUAAUCGAACCAUCUCAUAGCUGGUUCCUGCCGAAGUUCCCCCUC